rnacentral:rRNA from 1 species
AACGAACGCUGGCGGCAUGCCUAACACAUGCAAGUCGAACGAGCAGUCCGGGUCCAUGCGCGCACGGGUGCGUCACCCGUGGGAACCUGCCCAUAGGUUCGGAAUAACUCCACGAAAGGGAUACCAAUACGGGACAAUGUCUACGGACCAAAGAUUUAUCGACCUUGAAUGGGCCAGAGUUGGAUUAGCUAGUUGGUACGGUAAAAGCCUAACAAGGCCAGCAUGCCUAGCUGGUAUGAGAGAAUGAUCAGCCACACUUGGACUGAGACACGGCCCAGACUCCUCCGGGAUGCGGCAAUGGCGAAUAUAGGACCACGGGCGAAGGCCUGAUCCAGCACUGCCGCGUGAGUUAUGAAGGCCGGAGAGUUGUAAUGCGCAUUUACCCGGGCUGAUAAUGACGGUACCGGGUCAAUAAGCUCCGGCUAACUCCGUG